GAUGAACGCUAGCUACAGGCUUAACACAUGCAAGUCGAGGGGUAACGAGAGGAAAGCUUGCUUUCCUUGUCGACGACCGGCGCACGGGUGAGUAACGCGUAUCCAACCUGCCCCCAACUAGGGAAUAACCUUGCGAAAGUAAGACUAAUACCCUAUAAUUUCCUCAGAUGUCAUCUGACGAGGAAUAAAGAUUUAUCGGUUGUGGAUGGGGAUGCGUCUGGUUAGCUUGUUGGCGGGGUAACGGCCCACCAAGGCAACGAUCAGUAGGGGUUCUGAGAGGAAGGUCCCCUACAUUGGAACUGAGACACGGUCCAAACUCCUACGGGAGGCAGCAGUGAGGAAUAUUGGUCAAUGGGCGGAAGCCUGAACCAGCCAAGUAGCGUGCAGGAUGACGGCCCUAUGGGUUGUAAACUGCUUUUAUACAGGAAUAAAGUUAGCCACGUGUGGUUAUUUGUAGGUACUGUAUGAAUAAGGACCGGCUAAUUCCGUGCCAGCAGCCGCGGUAA
rnacentral:rRNA from 1 species